AGGUUGGCACUUCCUCCGUUGUAUAUCCAGCAGCCAUGUUUGCUCCUCAGGUGGCAGCCAGAGGCGUCCCCGUGGCCGAAUUCAACAUGGAAGACACUCCAGCUACCAUGCGCUUCAAGUUCCACUUCCACGGCCCCUGUGGGAGCACGUUACCCCCCGCGCUGGCACGCCAUGACACAGAGACAAAUUAAAGAUGAGUCCUGGACGUCAGCGCACAGACCAGACUCUGUAACACUGGAUGACUUUAUUCAUAAAAAUGCCAAAAAUAUUGGGUUGAAUUUAACCAAAUGCAAACAGAGUGAACGGGGUUCAUGAAAAAUAAGGUAAACAAGAUGAAAGACAAAAGGGAAACUGUUUAAGCUGUCAUACUGAUAACAUGUAUCAUUAUUAACAGUUACAAACACGCAGAAUUCUAGGCAUUUUAUUUUAAUUUGAUUCUUUUUUUGUGGCUUCUACCUUUAAUUGUUUAUUAGGAGAUGAUUGGACUGGUUUAAUUUCUGUCAGCUUUUUUUUUUGGUUUGCUUUUACAAAGAAUGUUGAACAUUGUAGCUAAUAUUACCAUGAUGCCAAAUCACACCACUGCUCUGGCUGACUGUUGCCAACACUAAACUGUAUAAAACAAUGAUUUAUUUGAUAAACUUUCCCAUAAGUCCUUUACAAAAUUAACUUUUCUGUUCAUAAAAAGCAAUGUUGAAAAAGACAGUGAUGCAAAUAAAUAGCAAUGAUGACUACAGAUGAAAUACAAACACA